rnacentral:rRNA from 1 species
UACGGAGGGAGCUAGCGUUGUUCGGAUAUACUGGGCGUAAAGCGCACGUAGGCGGCGUCGUAAGUCAGGGGUGAAAUCCCGGAGCUCAACUCCGGAACUGCCCUUGAAACUGCAAUGCUAGAAUCUUGGAGAGGCGAGUGGAAUUCCGAGUGUAGAGGUGAAAUUCGUAGAUAUUCGGAAGAACACCAGUGGCGAAGGUGACUCGCUGGACAAGUAUUGACGCUGAGGCACGAAAGCGUGGGGAUCAAACAGG